rnacentral:rRNA from 1 species
AUCUUCAGCAAUGGGCGCAAGCCUGACCGAGCGACGCCGCGUGUGCGAUGAAGGCCCUUCGGGUUGUAAAGCACUGUCGAGAGGAAGCAAGCCGCAAGGUUGAGCGACCUCUGGAGGAAGCACGGGCUAAGUUCGUGCCAGCAGCCGCGGUAAGACGAACCGUGCGAACGUUGUUCGGAAUCACUGGGCUUAAAGGGCGCGUAGGCGGGAUGGCAAGUCGGAGGUGAAAGCCCCCAGCUUAACUGGGGAAGUGCCCUCGAUACUGCCGUUCUCGAGAGAGGUAGGGGCGUGUGGAACUUCCGGUGGAGCGGUGAAAUGCGUAGAUAUCGGAAGGAACGCCGGUGGCGAAAGCGAUGCGCUGGACCUUUUCUGACGCUGAGGCGCGAAAGCCAGGGUAGCGAACGGGAUUAGAUACCCCGGUAGUCCUGGCCCUAAACGAUGGGUACUGGGUUGCGGGUCAGACAUGGACUCGCAGCCGAAGCAAAAGUGGUAAGUACCCCGCCUGGGGAGUAUGGUCGCAAGGCUGAAACUCAAAGGAA